rnacentral:misc_RNA from 1 species
GAUGAAGAACGCAGCGAAAUGCGAUAAGUAGUGUGAAUUGCAGAAUUCCGUGAAUCAUCGAAUCUUUGAACGCACAUUGCGCCUUCUGGUAUUCCGGAAGGCAUGCCUGUUCGAGAGUCAUUAACAACCGUUUCGAUCCCUUUCUUUCAGAAAUUACAAAGAGGAAAAGGGUUUGGUUAUGGUGGAGGAGGGAAAGGGAGCGUUUAGCCUCUAAAAAAAGAGGCUGUGUUCCGCCUCCCCCCCAAAAUUGUACAGGCGGUCGUGUGCGCCCACGCAUCGAGGUGUUGUAAAAGCUGCCACGGCACUUUUCACCUGUGCAGUGCGAGAUUGGCCAGCCGGUUUAAAAACCCCUCCAAACAAUCAAAGGUUGACCUCGGAUCAGGUAGGGAUACCCGCUGAACUUAAGCAUAUCAAUAAGCGGAGGA